rnacentral:tRNA from 2 species
GGUUCAGAACGCUGGUAGAGCGGUCGGCUGUUAACCGAUUGGUCGUAGGUUCGAAUCCUAC